rfam:Pteropus vampyrus cont1.114047, whole genome shotgun sequence.
AAAACCAGACAGUUUUCUCCGGAAAAGUGGCCAUCCAUGGAAUGAAUGAAAUGUUCCCUUCUAUCCA